rnacentral:rRNA from 1 species
CAUUGUGAACCUACCUUCAACCGUUGCUUCGGCGGGUUGGCACCGGGUCUCCCGGCGCCCCCGGCCCCCUCGCGGGGCGGCCCGCCGGAGGUACCUAACUCUUGAACAUUGUAUGGCCUCUCUGAGUCUUCUGUACUGAAUAAGUCAAAACUUUCAACAACGGAUCUCUUGGUUCUGGCAUCGAUGAAGAACGCAGCGAAAUGCGAUAAGUAAUGUGAAUUGCAGAAUUCAGUGAAUCAUCGAAUCUUUGAACGCACAUUGCGCCCGCCAGUAUUCUGGCGGGCAUGCCUGUUCGAGCGUCAUUUCAACCAUCAAGCCCUGGGCUUGUGUUGGGGACCUGCGGCUGCCGCAGGCCCUGAAAUGCAGUGGCGGGCUCGCUGUCACACCGAGCGUAGUAGCAUUAUCUCGCUCUGGGCGUGCUGCGUGUCCCGGCCGUAAAACGACCUUACACCCAAGGUUGACCUCGGAUCAGGU